CCCCUCUCGGGAUCGCACCUCGAGAGUUUCCAGUACUCCAAGAGUCUCGGCUAUGGGAGGGAGAGUCAAGCAGAGGUAUACUCAUCCCAUUCCUAGCUUGGGCAGUGGCUAGAGAGUGGAAGGCAAUCCGCUACAAGU